AUUGAACGCUGGCGGCAUGCCUUACACAUGCAAGUCGAACGGUAACGCGGGGCAACCUGGCGACGAGUGGCGAACGGGUGAGUAAUACAUCGGAACGUGCCCAGUAGUGGGGGAUAGCCCGGCGAAAGCCGGAUUAAUACCGCAUACGACCUACGGGUGAAAGCAGGGGAUCGCAAGACCUUGCGCUAUUGGAGCGGCCGAUGUCAGAUUAGGUUGUUGGUGGGGUAAAAGCCUACCAAGCCGACGAUCUGUAGCUGGUCUGAGAGGACGACCAGCCACACUGGGACUGAGACACGGCCCAGACUCCUACGGGAGGCAGCAGUGGGGAAUUUUGGACAAUGGGCGCAAGCCUGAUCCAGCCAUGCCGCGUGCGGGAAGAA
rnacentral:rRNA from 1 species